GGGGAGAUUCCAGAGCGGUCAAACGGGGCAGACUGUAAAUCUGUUGGCUUUCGCCUUCGGAGGUUCGAAUCCUCCUCUCCCCA
rnacentral:tRNA from 1 species